CCUGGGUCCAGUUUUGCCUUCAUUUUUCUUGUUGUUUCUCCUCUGUUUAUUCAGCCAGUCCUGGGUUUGAGCUCAACUCUGCCUCUUACCCGUAGGAAUUAGAGUCCAGGGCAACGGGGCCUUUGCCCUGAGGUUCCUGGGGUGACCCACAUUGUAGGCCUUGACCCGUCCUCUGGGGUGGAGAGCUUCUGGACAUUUCAUUUGUGCAAUGACCCCCUUUGUUCUGACCCAACAGAAGUCCCUGCCCUGCUCUGCCGAGGAAGCCUUCCUGGGCCUGUCACUGUUUACAGACUCUCAGAAAGGCAGGUGUUGGGAGGAAGCUGCCGCUUGCGGUCGGUUCUCCCCAGAUACAGGAGCGCCCGGCCCCCCCUAGGCCGGCUGCCAUUGGCUAACAGGAGGCCAAAACAGACUCCUCUCCCGCCUGCAGCCACCCAGCCAGCAAACAAAGAGCGCACAGGAAACACCUGGAGGAGAGGGCAGCUGGCAAGGGGACCUCCGCAGGAAAGAAGAAAGGGUUUGCAGGAGGAAUUAGGCUGGUGAGGAGCUGUGGGUGGGCGCCCGGGGCUUAAUUGCAUUUCUCUUGGCCCCCCCGCCAGCUGCUGAGACCUAGUCGCUGAGUUGCUCAAAUGCACCAUCCCUGGCACCCUCCCUCCGGGCCUCCAGUAAAGGGAUCAUCCCUUCCUGUGCCAGCUUUCCUAGCACAAGGGCACAAAUACCCGUAAAGAAAAGACUGCUCAGAGGGCUUUCCCUCUGCCCCUCUCCUCCCUUCUGUGGCCCUCCUCAUUCUCAGCCAGAGAGUCUGAUCCUCUUUGGAGCAAGUAAACUUACUAAUUUAUUUACUUAUUUAAGUUUAUUUAUUUUGAGAGAGAGCAAGAGAGAGAGCUUGCACCUGUGAGCGGGGCGGGGGCAGACAGAGAGAGGGAGAGACAGAAUCCCAAGCAGGCUCUGCGCUGUCAGAUCUCACGGCGAUCUCACAAACCAGGAGAUCAUGACCUGAGCCAAGAUCAAGAACCCGAUGCUUAACCGACUGAGCCGCCCAGGCGCCCCUAGACGAUGUAAAUUUAAACCCAAUGUCCAGGAGUGAAGACAGAAUCCUUAACCAAGGUAGCUGCCCAUGUUAUGUCAAAGUCUAUUCCGAAGAGAAGUCUCCAUUUAUUUCCAAACUUAUUUAUCUAGAUCUACAUCCACAUCUGCUUACUUGUCAUUUAGUACUUCAAGUGGUUGUGGUUCUGGGUGGAACAGACUUGACUGAGGAGAGUCAAUGACACCCUACCAUCAGCAUCCGCCCAAGAGCAUGUCUGGGGGUGCAUAAACCAUGUGCUGGAAACUUUGUAUGUAUGUAGCAGCAGCAGCCCACAGGGCUCCCUCACCCCCUCUUAGGAAACCCCCCGAUAGGGCACUUUCCUUUCUGGGUCUGGAGUGGGAAGAUUGGAAGGGGGCCAUGAGAGGAGGGCACUUGCCCCACAGCCUCCUGCGGGUACAACACAGUUUACUCAACCACAGCUUUUCAUUCAACAGCCAGCGUACUCACAUCAGACUGUCGCACGCCAAGUCGUGGGCAGCACACGAGGGUGUAAAAAACAGAAGGCAAGGGAUCCUUCUAUGGAGGCGUGUGUGGUAAUCGUGGGAGAGGGGACGCGAGCUUGCAGAGCCUCCAGACAUCGACCAAAAGUGACACGUGAAGAUGUGCUGACUGUGUGUGUUAUGAACACGUAAACAGUGAUAAAUGAUGUGUAUACAUCAUUUAAGAGGCGCUGGAAUAAGGCAUGUCAUAUGAGGGGGUAAGCAGUUUUAAACCAUAUGUACAAACAUUGAAAAGCCUUGAGGUCAGAAUGUUUUUAAAGAACGCAAGUGGAAUUAUUCAGGGAAGGCAUCCUGAGGAGGCAACAGGGGAAGGAAAAAGCGUGGACUCUGGAGACAGACACGUCCAGAUUUUAAAUCUGUUUCCACCACCUCCCCCUCCAGUCACUGGUGCUUUGCUUCCUUCAUCUACGAGCUUGAGGCGACCAUUUCUCAGAGUGUGCUCAUGGAGAUUGUGCGAGAGAGGCUGUGUGUAAGGCAGCAGGCAGAGUGCCUGGCCACAUUGGUGUUUGGCACCCAGUAGGUGCUCGUGUCCUAGAAGAAAGCAUGUCAAAAUACUUUGACAAGGGGUUUGGGGCCAUGAUAAUUGGCAGAGUAGGGAGUCUUGCAGAUGUGGUCAUGGCGGCAAGGAAAAGUGAACAGGAGAGAGUUGUGAAGGUGGGGUAUCCUGGCACGGUUAGGCCAUUGCACAGGGAGUCUGGGGUUGGAAAGUUCGGGAGCGCCUUGUAUUCCCAUCUUAGACAUUCAGAAUGGCCAGGAGAGGCAGCAGGAAAGGAAUGGCCUGAUGAAAACGAAGUUUGUGGUUGCCCAGGCUGCUGGCCAGCCUGGGUAGGGAGGCAGAUAGAAGGCUGUUGUGUGUUAUUUCCAUACGAUGGAGCAGGACCAGGGCUAUGCACUGGCCUAAAUGGAAAAGAAGAAUCAGGGAUUUCCCCUGUCCUGUAUGGAAAUGGAAAUAGAAUGGUGAGAGGUGAUUUAGCACAAGUGACUCAUUUUACGGAUGAGAAAACUGAGGCUCAGGAGGGAGGAGGGACUAGUCUAGGUACUAGGUACUAGUUAUUGUCAGACCGGAAGCUAGGGCUCCUACUUCCCAACUCCUAAGCCCAUGGGUGUUUCUACCACCAGGCUGCUGACCUCCAGAGUAGACAUUGGGAAGGAUUUCUGUGGACAGGAUCACAGACAGAGAGUCUAUUUUCUCUCUCCAGCUACCUUGGUCAGAAUUCCUUCCGCACACGUAGCCCAGCCUUCUCUCCAGGUGUGAUUACCGUCUGGGUAAACCCAUUUAGGGAGUUAAUUGAUAACUAAGGUUCCCCCACAUUAUGAUUUAAAAUGUGUCCACCCCUCUGUAAGUAACAUUUACGUUUCAAUAGCAGGUGCUUAAAGACCUAAGAGCCUGUAAGAUUCAAAGGACUGUUUUCUUAAGAAGGUGCAAUCACGGGGCACCUGGGUGGCUCAGUCAGUUAAACGUCAGACUCUUGAUUUUGGCUGAGGUCAUGAUCUCAUGGGUCAUGAGCUCACGGGUUGUGGGUUCGAGUCCGUGUCGGGCUCCGUCAGGCUCCGCACCGACAGCUCCCUUUCUCUCUGCCCUUCCCCUGCUUGUUCUCUCUCUCUCUCUCUCUCUCUCUCUCUCUCAAAAUAAAUAAGUAGCUUUAAAAAGAAAAAAAAAGGUGCAGUCACAGGUUAGCUCUUCUGAGCUGGGACCCCUCACUGGCAAACCCUGAAUGAACUUGAUUUUUUUUUUCUUCUACUCCUUACCUAAAUUCCUUUCAUCUAUUGGCCUCUACUCUUGGCAACUUCGAGACCCAUCUGUUCGGCCAAUAUUCACUAACACCUAUUCAACACCAAACACUGCUCAGGUAAAGUCCCUGGCUUACAUUCUACUGUAAAUUCAGCGUUAUAAGGAUGGGUGCCUGGGCGGCUCAGUUAGUUGAGCAUCUGACUCUUGAUUUCAGCUCCCAUCAUGAUCUCAUGGUUUGUGGGUUUGAGCCCUGCGUCGGGCUCUGUGCUGACAGUGCAGAGCCUGAUUGGGAUUCUCUCCCUGCCCUCACUCUCAAAAUAAAUUUAAAAACAAAAUCCUUGUUUAAAAAAAAAAAAUCGGGGUUAUAAGGACUAGGACAGAAGAAAAGACUGAGUAACAUGGGAAGGAACAGUGUCACUGCAAAGCUGGAAGAGAAGGUCUGAAUCUUGAGAGACCAGAGUUAACCAGACAAAAGUGGGUAGGCAGGUGGGGGCAGAGCAUUGAGCAAGGGCCCAGAGGCUGCAGUCCCAGGCAUGAGUUAAUGGGCACCGGUUGAGGGUGGGCAAGUUGCCUCUAGUAUAAUCCUUGGAGGGGAAGCACAGGCCCCAAGCGUGCUCACUGUCCUGUUGGGAACAUACUGGGAUGUGCCUUCGAGAGAUCCCAGCCGUGGUGACAGUGUGCCAUUGAUGUCCUCAAUGCAGAGCCUCACUCCGAGUAUGGAAGUGGGGUCAGAAAACCCUACACCCCCAUUUCCAGGUGGUCCAAGGCGCAUCAUAAGUCACAAACUGGAAGCCUAUGCAAAUAAGUACUUAAAAGCAGUUUACCCCUUAAAAAAAAAAUUAGUGGCCGUCGUUAGAAUUUAGGGAGAUGUGAAAUAGAAGUCUAUAUUUCAGGUUUCUCUUGAGAAAAUCACAGUAUCUGAUAUCACUGGUCUCACAGGAGGACAGUGGACUGGCGCUAAGGAACAGGGUCUUUUUCAGACAAAGCCUGAGCUCACUCCCCAAGUUCACCACAGCCUCUGUGUGGCUGUCCUUCUUCACUGACAGCCUGGCCCUACCUUGGCUCCUCUGGUGCUCACCGAACUCUAAACGGCCCCUCCCUGCUGGUGCUGGUAAAUAAAGGAGCCCCAACCUGCCCGGCUAUAACCUCCUCUUAUCUGAUGUGCCCCUGGGAAGCCUGUCGGGUCUGCUGGACAAGGGGUGAAUAAGGCCUGCCCUUGCUUAUGGGAACAGGGGUGGGGACUAGUAGACCCACUUCAGCUGGGAGCAAAAUGACUUGGAGCCGGUGGGCCCCCAGGGAACGGGGCCCCCCUCGAAGCCGGGGAAAGGACAGGCAACACAUCUGGGCAAGGCUUGUUUGUACAAGAUCAUUAUCCAGGGCCCUGGUAGCCUCUUAAACUGAGUUCAAAUGUUUUUCAUACCAGCUCUGCAAAGAAGUGGUGCAGAGAAAAAGCCAGAACUCUCCAGAACUCACCAGGCUUGCCCUUCCCAGCUUCCCCAUUUCUCUCUCUUCCUGGAAGGGAGAACGUGAUUCCGCAUGAUUCCACAGGUGGGCAGGAAGGAGCCACCUGCUAUAGGUCUUCUGAGUGUAACUGAAGAGAAAUACCAUGAGACACCAAGAAAAGGAUUUGCAUCUGAAGAAAACGCUUAGUGAGUUGAGGAUGUUGGCUUCUCUACACCACACGGCUUCAUCUGCUACAUUUUUAUUAAAGUAACCAAAAAAAAAAAAAAGAAAGAAAGAAAAAAGAAGCGCGUACAUUUGUCCAUAAAGCUGUACAUCCUUCCAUAUAAAAACACUAUUAUACAAUUAGUAACCUUUGUCUUUUCUGUCAGAAUAGCUUACCAACGUGCUACUAUUAUUUCUUUUUACUUAAUAGGAGAGACAGGCCUGCUCAACAGUCCAGCUCUGGGUGUUUUGCUGUUUUUUAAAGUGAACAUUAAAAAAAAAAAAUAAGAAAGAGAGGGAGAGAGAGAAGAGAGAAAAGAUUAAGCAGGAGACCAUGAGGCUGCUUCUUUUUUAAAAAGGCAGGGAUCUGUUUGCAGACAGGAUGUAACAAUGCCACGUCCAGUGAUUCACAGCUUUGUCUCAACCCACAGGCCAGAAAAUGAGCUCUUGGGUCUGUGGGUCUGAAGUUAGCUUUAAAGCAAUAAAGGCUGGAAGCAGGGUCUGGGAAGGCAGCUUGGAGUCUAGAGUUGAAAAGGAGGCAGGACUGGCAGGACUGGGUAGGGACAGUGUUUGGUAAAUAGCACCUUUGAAUCAGAAGUGAGUGGUUAAGAAAUUCAGGGAAGGGGACUGGCUGUGGAGUGGGGGACCCUCGGGCAGGGAAGAAAGUUUCCUCACUAAGGGGCGACAGCCUGGUGGGCUGGACAGGAGGGUAGCCAGGUAGACUGGAUGCUCUAGCUACGUCCUUCUAAAGUGAUUUUGAGAUUAGGAAAAUCAGAGCCUUCGGAGGACCCCCUCACUAAUGUCACUGAAAAACCGAAGGAAGGCGAUUUCUUCCCAGUAUAGAUUUCCACUGGCUCCGACCCAGCACGGUAAAUAUUGCACAAGUCUACAGACAAAUCUGGGUUGUACUGAGAGACAGCAACUUCCCCACAGGUGCUCUGAGCACCAGGGAGAAAAUAAUGCCCAGGAUUUUGGCUUUUAGUGUCAGCCCUACAAGAAUACCAAGUAGUCCUGCAGAACUCGGGGAGUUCUCCCAUUCAGCCAAGGAAUACCUGCGAGGCCGACCAGCCAGCCAGAGUCCCGAGGACGGAGGGAUAGUUCCCGAAGCCCUCCAGGGCACCAGGAGGUUCUGAGAGCUGGGUCUCCUUCAGACUCUCCUGGGACCCAGGAGGCCAUAUUGCACAAUGAGUCGAGAGCUCUUGUUCUGGAAAACUGGGUAGCUCCAUGACCCAACCAGAAGGGGAGAAGAACGGGAGAGUCAGGGAGGAGUGUUGUGCUUUUAAAAAGAAGGCAGUAGUAAAGAACCUAGAGUUCCCUGUAGCUUUUGAGCCAGCUCUUGAAGGGAUAGUGGCAGCAGCAGCAGCAUCAGGAUGUUCCUGUGAUUCCAGAGAGAAGGGUUUUGGCCAAAAAACCCCAAAAAACAAACAAACAAAAACAAAACAAAAAAACACAUCCCCAGUGGAUACUCUUUGGGUCCCAAAAUUCCAUUGCAAGUCACCCCCAACUUAAUCACCACGUAUACUCACACACAGAGCAGCACACAGCAAAGCAAAGGUUUCGUGCAGAGUUCCCUUCAGCCCCAACCCCGAUAACCUCGAACUCCUGCCUUACUCCCCCGACCCCCACAAAACAAAAAGCUUUUGUUUCCUGGCUGGGAAGCAACAUCUACCAGGCCCCUGAGCAUAGAAUCAGAAACAAGUCAUGAUUUCAAGAAAAGCUGCUUAGGGCAGAAGCAAUCAGGAGAGGACUUUUCACUCUCUGCCCUGGAUCUCAUCAGAAACAUGAAAGACGAUUAGGCAACAUAGUAUAACUUAAGUCCAGGCUUGAAUGCCCCUGAGUAAGAGAGGGGCCAGGGGAUACAGGUGUCCCGUUCAGGAGAGGGAGAGGUUUGAGCUCAGCCCCUCUUUCUCCCCGCAAGGCAGAUCCUGACCUCUCUUUCACAGUUGCUAACCUUGCUUGCUCCCUCCCCCAUCUUCUUGGGGUGCCAGCCAAGCUUCUCCCACCUCACCUCAAGCCAGCACCCCACCCACCCCCGCUUCCGUACUCCCCCCUCCCGUAGGCAGACACGCUGGUUCCCGGACUCAAGCGCACAACAGUUCUCUCCGAAGGCACCUGGGGAGGCCACUUCCAAGCAGCUCCCUUUAAGGAUUUUUCUUUAAAAAAAAUCUUUUGGUUUUUUUUUUUUUCUCCCCUUUUCUUAAAAAAAAUAA